GACGAACGCUGGCGGCGUGCUUAACACAUGCAAGUCGAACGGAAAGGCCCUGCUUUUGUGGGGUGCUCGAGUGGCGAACGGGUGAGUAACACGUGAGUAACCUGCCCUUGACUUUGGUAUAACUUCAGGAAACUGGGGCUAAUACCGGAUAGGAGCUCCUGCUGCAUGGUGGGGGUUGGAAAGUUUCGGCGGUUGGGGAUGGACUCGCGGCUUAUCAGCUUGUUGGUGGGGUAGUGGCUUACCAAGGCUUUGACGGGUAGCCGGCCUGAGAGGGUGACCGGCCACAUUGGGACUGAGAUACGGCCCAGACUCCUACGGGAGGCAGCAGUGGGGAAUAUUGCACAAUGGGCGGAAGCCUGAUGCAGCAACGCCGCGUGCGGGAUGACGGCCUUCGGGUUGUAAACCGCUUUCGCCUGUGACGAAGCGUGAAUGACGGUAAUGGGUAAAGAAGCACCGGCUAACUACGUG
rnacentral:rRNA from 1 species